AUCCAGACUCCUACGGGAGGCAGCAGUGGGGGAUAUUGCACAAUGGGGGGAACCCUGAUGCAGCGACGCCGCGUGAGCGAUGAAGGCCUUCGGGUCGUAAAGCUCUGUCCUCAAGGAAGAUAAUGACGGUACUUGAGGAGGAAGCCCCGGCUAACUACGUGCCAGCAGCCGCGGUAAUACGUAGGGGGCUAGCGUUAUCCGGAAUUACUGGGCGUAAAGGGUGCGUAGGUGGUUUCUUAAGUCAGAGGUGAAAGGCGACGGCUCAACCGUAGUAAGCCUUUGAAACUGGGAAACUUGAGUGCAGGAGAGGAGAGUGGAAUUCCUAGUGUAGCGGUGAAAUGCGUAGAUAUUAGGAGGAACACCAGUGGCGAAGGCGGCUUACUGGACUGUAACUGGCGUUGAGGCUCGAAAGCGUGGGGAGCAAACAGGAUUAGAUACCCUGGUA
rnacentral:rRNA from 1 species